rnacentral:rRNA from 1 species
GACGUAGGAUGCGAGCGUUAUUCGGAUUUAUUGGGCGUAAAGCGUGCGUAGGCGGCUGUUUAAGUCUGGUGUUAAAGCUAGGGGCUCAACCCCUGUGGUGCAUCGGAUACUGGGCAGCUUGAGUGCGGUAGGGGAAGGUGGAAUUCCGAGUGUAGCGGUGAAAUGCGUAGAUAUCGGGAAGAACACCAAAGGCGAAAGCACUCUGCUGGGCCGAAACUGACACUGAUAGACGAAAGCUAGGGGAGCAAAUGGG